UGAGGAUCAUGGAGAUGACAAGACUUGC
rnacentral:piRNA from 1 species